GAUGAACGCUGGCGGCGUGCCUAAUACAUGCAAGUCGAGCGAACGGACGAGAAGCUUGCUUCUCUGAUGUUAGCGGCGGACGGGUGAGUAACACGUGGAUAACCUACCUAUAAGACUGGGAUAACUUCGGAAAACCGUAGCUAAUACCGGAUAAUAUUUUGAACCGCAUGGUUCAAAAGUGAAAGACGGUCUUGCUGUCACUUAUAGAUGGAUCCGCGCUGCAUUAGCUAGUUGGUAAGGUAACGGCUUACCAAGGCAACGAUGCAUAGCCGACCUGAGAGGGUGAUCGGCCACACUGGGACUGAGACACGGUCCAGACUCCUACGGGAGGCAGCAGUAGGGAAUCUUCCGCAAUGGGCGAAAGCCUGACGGAGCAACGCCGCGUGAGUGAUGAAGGUCUUCGGAUCGUAAAACUCUGUUAUUAGGGAAGAACAUAUGUGUAAGUAACUGUGCACAUCUUGACGGUACCUAAUCAGAAAGCCACGGCUAACUACGUG
rnacentral:rRNA from 1 species